ensembl:lncRNA
CUGGUACUGAAUCCCUCUUCCAGGUGACUUAAGUGAUGAAAAUGUAAGCAUUUAGAACUCCAUUCAGUUGCUUGAAUACAGGUCUCAGUGCCACUUGGAUGCUGCAGGGUGUCAUGCUUGUUGUCCUGCCUUCCAUUAGAGAAAAGCACAGGCUCACCAGAAGUCGUACAUGAGUUUUAAGUGAAAAACCCUAUGGCAACAAGCGACUGUGUUUAGACAACGGGAUUGGUCCCUACAUGUCAAUAGUAUAUAUGAGAUGAACCACAACAUGGAAGUUUCCGCUUCUAUCCAUUGAGUGUAUAUAGUAUUGCUGGUGAGCCCAAGCAUCACAAUGAAGCAGAACAGUCCUGCUGUAGGAACAGUGAGAAACUUGGAACCAGAUCCUCCGAAUAGCAACUAGAGUGACAUCUACUGAACCAAGUGGAUCUAUCUCAGUGAAAGUUCACCUUACCAAGCAGCUCUCUGGUACUCACACACAGCUUAGUGGACCAUGAUAGCUGUGCAUCUGGGUAACAUGUCUGCAGCAGGCACUGUACUCCUGGGAAGGAAUGG